rnacentral:piRNA from 1 species
UACAUCUUUCUGUAUGGAUUUGC